rnacentral:rRNA from 1 species
UACGUAGGGUGCGAGCGUUGUCCGGAUUUAUUGGGCGUAAAGAGCUUGUAGGCGGCUCGUCGCGUCGGGUGUGAAAACUUGCGGCUUAACCGCAAGCCUGCACCCGAUACGGGCGGGCUAGAGUUCGGCAGGGGAGACUGGAAUUCCUGGUGUAGCGGUGGAAUGCGCAGAUAUCAGGAGGAACACCGGUGGCGAAGGCGGGUCUCUGGGCAGUAACUGACGCUGAGGAGCGAAAGCGUGGGGAGCGAACAGG